ensembl:lncRNA
ACAAAACUUCCACUGUAGCAAUGAUUGACAGGAAAGUUGCCCUACACGGACGUGACGAUUAGCACAGGCCCCGGGACCCGGAAGAUGUUCUCAGGUUAGGAACCAUAGAGAGAGAGAGAAAGAGAGAGAGAGAGCUGGGAGCUACUAGGUCAAGUAAGUCACAGCACAGAACAUGACGACAGGGAUCGACAGUGGAAGUGCAGCGAUGAUAAAAGGCGUGAAAGCAUGCCUUUGUGAUGCUAUAAUAAAUGGUAACCAUGAGCUCACGUUAUGCAAAACUGUAAACAAGGCCUCCCCUUAAGUAUGGGCACGUGAACAAUUUCACAUACAUGGAAAAACCUCUCAUAUAAUGCAGAGGUGACACCUAAACUGAGCACAAAAUACUUUAUAAGAAACUUUGUCGUUUUGGAGCAACCACAGACUAUAAUUUAGUCAAAAUGAGUUUGGCCACAUGCGGACAACCAUACAGAUGUCAUAUUUUUGGAUUCUCACCCCAUAAACUGCAGACACAGGCAGUAAAACUGGCAAAUAUAGGAGUACUCAGAAAGGGUUCUGUCUGUUUCAAAUGCAAAUUAUUUCAGACAUGUGGUCUUCAAGUAAACGGACCCCAUUGCCCUGCCUGCUGCCCUGGCAAUUAGAAAAAAUAACUAGCUAAGCUAGUAGGAUGGGAAAACGUCCAUUUGAGCAACAUAAAACAAAAAAAGACCAUGACUGGAUGAGACCAGCAAAUAGUGCUGAGACACUAAUGAUUACAAAUGAUGCCACAUCUCAACAACUAAAGAAAACCACACAGCCACAUAUGAUACAGGUUGGGGGGAGUCGAGCAUGCUCGUCUUUUGUUAAAGCCAAUCAAUAUGUAUCCUCAGCAGACGUGAUAUCCGAUCCUGUAAAACACUGAGAAACUGCCCCCCCAUCUGUUUAACUCUGCAUGGCUCUCUUUUCUAGAGCGGUUUCUCUGCCUCUCAUUUCUCAGUUUGCCGCCAUUCCGGUGGAGCAUUAAUAAACCCUACUGGCUUUCUGUGUGGCUCAGUAAACGUCAUGUCUAUCAUGAGGAAGGCUACCAGGAAAUCGUGUCCCUAGGGUGGCUUCGCGUAGUGAUUUGCCCGUAACAUAAUCAGAGUUGGCAAGUCCUAUAAUUUAUGCAGAUGAUAUAUCAUUAGCAAUUUGCAACGGUCGUGUAUAAGCAGCAGUUUCGGUUUGUACAUUAUUUGCUUAGUCUUGAGCAGUAUUUUUGAUUCACUGCCUAAAACACAAAAUGGUCUUUGGAGAUGAAACAAACACAUCUGGGUCUUGAGCGGUGUACAAAUUGACUAUGGGCCCUCGUUACUGUAACAGAAGUGAAAGAGAAACGGCGUGUCCCUCAAAUAAAGCUCAUCUGCGCAAAAAAGUGACAAAGCAAAAGGGGAGGAGGAGCAGGAGGGUGGAGGAUUGGGUUGAGCUGGACGGAUUAAAUAUAGAAAGAGGAAAUGGCAUUUUUAAAAGCUGCCCUUCCUGCGCCCACAAGUUUCAGUGAUGCGUGGAUGUCAAGAUCACGCCUCUCCCACGCAGCUCAUCGUCCCCGACGCUCACAGUGGACUGCUUCAUAUCUGCUCUCAAGUGGUGGUGCAACUGAAAGGAAUGUGCUUGAGGAUGUGAUGAGAUGAACACUUUCUGUAAAGUGAUGGGAGGGGGAUCAAAUGUAUUCAUUAUCAAGCCUUUUUGCCUAAGUUCCUCUUUCUGCAGCUGCUGUGCUGCAUCCUGUGUGAAGCUGCAGCAGGUACAACAAGCACCGCAGUGGCACUAUGCAUGACCUGGCGCCAUGCCUUAUCUACACAUCUCAGGAACCUGUGAGUAUGUUCAUUCGGGCUGUUGAGUUGGAUCGGCUGGUGCUUUCAGUGCUGGCUGCACAAACACAGACACGGCAAAGAGUCAACAGGUGGAAGCUCAGUGUGAGUGUGUUUAAACACGGAGGACCAGGCCGCAGAAUGUAUCAACACAGUCUCCGUCCCCCUCUCGCUCUCACACACAACCUGGCAAAAGGGGUGCCCCUUCUCAUCAGGGAGCAUACGCAAAGCCAGCCCAGUCCAAGUAAUUGCUCCCCACCGGGACAAACAACUCCAUUCAGCCCAAGUGUCGGUUAACAGUUUGUUCUCCCUCCUCCGCUGCGCGCCCCCGCUGCCCAAUCUGCAUGGUGCCACGCUGCAUUAGUGGCCUGUCAACAGAGUAUCACCUGACGCAUCAACGCCUCGUCAGCCACCCUUCACAUCCAAUGCAUAUAUACAAACGCCAUGCGCUGUGUCCCGCCUGUUUAUGCGUUAGCGGCAAUGCUUGUGAGCGCAAUGUGAUAAAUACAGGGAGGCAAAGAGUUCAAAUAGAGAACAACGCGAUGGAAGCGAGAUCAAGAGGAGACCAAGAGGAGAGAGGCAUCUCGUCUUUUCAGUUCACGGCUCUAUCCAAGUCGUGACUAUCUGCCAACUAAGACAAUCUUAUAAAAGCCUAUCGAAUGUGUACUCGAGUGCCACUUAUUUUAUCUUGGGACUUGUUCUUGGAUAUCAGGCGAGACAGCUCAUCAAUCACACCACAAUCAAGU